rnacentral:rRNA from 1 species
CUGAAACCGUGUACGUACAAGCAGUGGGAGCACGCUUAGGCGUGUGACUGCGUACCUUUUGUAUAAUGGGUCAGCGACUUAUAUUCUGUAGCAAGGUUAACCGAAUAGGGGAGCCGAAGGGAAACCGAGUCUUAACUGGGCGUUAAGUUGCAGGGUAUAGACCCGAAACCCGGUGAUCUAGCCAUGGGCAGGUUGAAGGUUGGGUAACACUAACUGGAGGACCGAACCGACUAAUGUUGAAAAAUUAGCGGAUGACUUGUGGCUGGGGGUGAAAGGCCAAUCAAACCGGGAGAUAGCUGGUUCUCCCCGAAAGCUAUUUAGGUAGCGCCUCGUGAAUUCAUCUCCGGGGGUAGAGCACUGUUUCGGCAAGGGGGUCAUCCCGACUUACCAACCCGAUGCAAACUGCGAAUACCGGAGAAUGUUAUCACGGGAGACACACGGCGGGUGCUAACGUCCGUCGUGAAGAGGGAAACAACCCAGACCGCCAGCUAAGGUCCCAAAGUCAUGGUUAAGUGGGAAACGAUGUGGGAAGGCCCAGACAGCCAGGAUGUUGGCUUAGAAGCAGCCAUCAUUUAAAGAAAGCGUAAUAGCUCACUGGUCGAGUCGGCCUGCGCGGAAGAUGUAACGGGGCUAAACCAUGCACCGAAGCUGCGGCAGCGACGCUUAUGCGUUGUUGGGUA